rnacentral:rRNA from 1 species
GACGAACGCUGGCGGCGUGCUUAACACAUGCAAGUCGAACGGUAAGGCCCUUUCGUGGGUACACGAGUGGCGAACGGGUGAGUAACACGUGGGUGAUCUGCCCUGCCCUUUGGGAUAAGCCUGGGAAACUGGGUCUAAUACCGGAUAGGACGACGCGAUGCAUGUCGUGUGGUGGAGAGCUUUUGCGGUGUGGGAUGGGUGCGCGGCCUAUGAGCUUGGUGGUGGGGUGAUGGCCUACCAAGGCGACGACGGGUAGCCGGCCUGAGAGGGUGUCCGGCCACACUGGGACUGAGAUACGGCCCAGAAUCCUACGGGAGGCAGCAGUGGGGAAUAUUGCACAAUGGGCGCAAGCCUGAUGCAGCGACGCCGCGUGGGGGAUGACGGCCUUCGGGUUGUAAACCCCUUUCAGCACAGACGAAGCGUAAGUGACGGUAGGUGCAGAAGAAGCACCGGCUAACUACGUG